UCAAAUCUAGGUGCCUGCGGGGCAUCAUUCGGCCUUUCCGCAAUUCUAGGUGCUAAAUCAUGUUCAAGAUCCUCCAAUUCGCUCAUAGUCCUUUUGGCAUAAAUCAUUACAGCUUAGAAGAAAGUGGUGAUGGUCAUGUCCUCGCAUGCCUUGCAUCUAAUGAGGAUAGCAUGGGCAAUGGCUACAAUUCUAUUCCUUUUUUCCCUUUUCUCCGUGAGCAAACGUUUGAUCUGGUUACUGC
rnacentral:lncRNA from 1 species